CGGGGGGCUGCAGCAGUGAGGAAUAUUGCACAAUGGGGGAAACCCUGAUGCAGCAACGCCGCGUGGAGGAUAACGCAUUUCGGUGUGUAAACUCCUUUUAUCAGAGAAGAAAAUGACGGUAUCUGAUGAAUAAGCUCCGGCUAACUCCGUGCCAGCAGCCGCGGUAAUACGGAGGGAGCAAGCGUUAUUCGGAAUCACUGGGCGUAAAGGACGCGUAGGCGGGUUUUUAAGUCAGGUGUGAAAUCCUAUGGCUCAACCAUAGAACUGCACUUGAAACUGGGGACCUAGAGUAUGGAAGGGGCAGGUGGAAUUAGUGGUGUAGGGGUAAAAUCCGUAGAUAUCACUAGGAAUACCGAAAGCGAAGGCGACCUGCUGGGACAUUACUGACGCUGAGGCGUGAAAGCGUGGGGAGCAAACAGGAUUAGAUACCCUAGUAGUC
rnacentral:rRNA from 1 species